ensembl:snRNA U2 U2 spliceosomal RNA
CUCGCUUCUCUGCCUUUUGACUAAGAUCAAGUGAAGUAUCUGUUCCUAUCAGUUUAAUAUUUGAUGCGUCCUCUGUAUGAGGACUACAUAUUACAUUGAUAUUUAGAACAGGGAGGCAAAAGAGGAGCUUGCUCCAUCCGCUCCACUCAUCGACCUGGUAUUGCAGUACCUCCGGGAACAGUGCGCCUCCU